CACCUUGAGAAGUGCUGCUAGACAAUGAAUUCUGGCCCCAUUGCCACCACCACGCCGUGGCUUGAACAGAGCACCAUGGGCGGACCCUCUGCCUUUGGACACUAGGUGCUGUUUCCACUCUCUGAAUACAUUCUCAUCAUUGAUCUAGGAGCUGAGCACCUCCUCUAGCCAGUCUCUUCCUUGCGUGUUCACCGUUGCUCCUUUCAACCAUGAAAUCUCUCUGUGCACCCACGUGCAGCAGGCAUUGUGCAAGGAGCUGUGCAUGCAGAGAGGAAAAAGAUGUGACUGCUCUCCUCCACCAGUUCGGAGUCUGACGCCUGAGGACCUACUGAAGACAGCAAGUUCCCUUUCUGCAAGACUACAUCGGCCUCACAGUCACCUUCCCAGGAUGGCCCAUGGCAAAGAUCCCC